AGAGUUUGAUCAUGGCUCAGAUUGAACGCUGGCGGCAUGCCUUACACAUGCAAGUCGAACGGUAACAGGUCUUCGGAUGCUGACGAGUGGCGAACGGGUGAGUAAUACAUCGGAACGUGCCUAGUAGUGGGGGAUAACUACUCGAAAGAGUAGCUAAUACCGCAUGAGAUCUACGGAUGAAAGCAGGGGAUCGCAAGACCUUGUGCUACUAGAGCGGCUGAUGGCAGAUUAGGUAGUUGGUGGGAUAAAAGCUUACCAAGCCGACGAUCUGUAACUGGUCUGAGAGGAUGAUCAGUCACACUGGAACUGAGACACGGUCCAGACUCCUACGGGAGGCAGCAGUGGGGAAUAUUGGACAAUGGGCGAAAGCCUGAUCCAGCCAUGCCGCGUGUGUGAAGAAGGUCUUCGGAUUGUAAAGCACUUUAAGUUGGGAGGAAGGGCAUUAACCUAAUACGUUAGUGUUUUGACGUUACCGACAGAAUAAGCACCGGCUAACUACGUGCCAGCAGCCGCGGUAAUACGUAGGGGGCAAGCGUUGUCCGGAAUUAUUGGGCGUAAAGCGCGCGCAGGCGGCUGUCUAAGUCUGGUGUAUAAGCCCAGGGCUCAACCCUGGUUCGCACUGGAAACUGGAUGGCUUGAGUGCAGGAGAGGAAAGUGGAAUUCCACGUGUAGCGGUGAAAUGCGUAGAGAUGUGGAGGAACACCAGUGGCGAAGGCGACUUUCUGGACUGUAACUGACGCUGAGGCGCGAAAGCGUGGGGAGCAAACAGGAUUAGAUACCCUGGUAGUCCACGCCGUAAACGAUGAGUGCUAGGUGUUAGGGGUUUCGAUACCCUUGGUGCCGAAGUAAACACAAUA
rnacentral:rRNA from 1 species